UGACUACCUGUGCUAAUUGCGUCGCAUC
rnacentral:piRNA from 1 species